CUUGCCUUCGUUUGUUGUGACGCUCCUUGAAUUGUGAAAUAGUUUCCGAAAUGUCAGUUCUAUAAUUCGUUUGCGACAUUGGCAUGCCUGCCACCACAACUCUAUAUUGGAAACAUGCUUUGCAGUACUCCAAGCAGAAGCGCUAUCUUUUUGCUGUUGGAUUCACUAUGCAACUUGAACCACAUUCUUCAAGAUUGACAGUUGUACGUAAACAUCUUCCAACACAAGUUGAUACAGUUUUCACCCGUCAUGGAGGUAGUGGCACUCACAAAUGAUUAUGGACUACACCACAUACAGCACAGACAAUCAAAAGGAAGAAGUAGUCAGUAUUUGUGUGUCCUCUACCAACGACUCUUACCCACCAUUUGAAGUUCCAGCUAGGGAAGAAUUAGGAGCACCUCUGCAAGGAUUACAAACAUGGGAAAAAUGUGGAAAACUUUCUUCCUACUAC